CCUACGGGAGGCAGCAGUGGGGAAUCUUGCGCAAUGGCCGAAAGGCUGACGCAGCGACGCCGCGUGCGGGAGGAAGCCCUUCGGGGUGUAAACCGCUGUCAGGGGGGAAGAAACCUCAGGGUUGGAAUACGGCCUUGAGCUGACGGUACCCCCAGAGGAAGCGCCGGCUAACUUCGUGCCAGCAGCCGCGGUAAU
rnacentral:rRNA from 1 species